UCAAGUAUGCCAAAAAAAUCUAAAAUAAUGGAAAUAUUUUGAAUUAAAACAAUAAUUUACAUAUGUAUUUCUUUGCAGAGCCUCCGAGUUAUUCGAAAUUCGUAUUAAAGAACUAGAGUUUUAGAAGAAGUAAAGUUUUGCAUAUUUACAAGUCCGGAUCAUCUGUGUGUCCGUCCACAUUCGCUGGUGCAGGGAUUCUCCCUAUUGCAGCCUUUGCAUAUUUAUAAGUCCGGAUCAUUUGUCUGUCCGUCUACAUUCGCUGGUGCAGCGAUUUUUAUAUACUUCCAGGACUCUAAUCUGAUCGCAGAUACAACUUUUUCCUUACCGCAAGCUCAACAUCAUCGUAGCGCAGCCCACUUUUAGCGCAAGACCUUUACAAUAUCGCACACCGUGUUCAAAAGAGUCACAACUCAAAUAAUACGAUUGUAAGAAAAUGCGAAAAACUAUUUCUUAGCACAUGGUCAUCACAUGGACAAGGGUGACUUUACCUUAGGUUUUUUUAACAAAUUAUAAAAAAAAAAUUUCUGCAGCUUUUGCUGAAAGUUAAAUAGGAGCUCUGUGCAUAAUUUCAAAAAUUACAAAUUUUGAGGUGUGACUCUUUUGAAGACGGUGUGCGAUAUGCUGGUGUUUUGUAUGUAAGUUUUAAUAAGUGGAAAAAGUCUAGUGUACUAACCGUUCAUCUAUAGAACACCCAAAAAAGUACAAAACAGUAAAAUUAAAUUUAAAUUAAAAAACCAAAUGUAAUUAAAUUAGGAUGCUCAAGAUCUACUUUUUAAAUGUAACCAUUAUAAUGAUUAACAAGACUCAUAAGAGAAAAUAGUAGAAAACAUUUCCAAAAAUUUACAUGUUUAAAAAACGAAAUGUAAUUAAAUUACGAUACUGAAGACAUAUUUCUUAAAUGUAACCAAUAUUAUGAUUAAGAAGACUGAUUGGAAAAAAAUACAAAACAUUAAAAUUAAAUUUUAAUUAAAAAACCAAAUGUAAUUAAAUUAGGACACUCAAGAUCUAACUUUUCAAUGUAACCAAUAUAAUGAUUAGCAAGACUGAU